AUACGUAGGGGGCUAGCGUUGUCCGGAAUGAUUGGGCGUAAAGGGCGCGUAGGCGGCCCGGUAAGUCUGGAGUGAAAGUCCUGCUUUUAAGGUGGGAAUUGCUUUGGAUACUGUCGGGCUUGAGUGCAGGAGAGGUAAGUGGAAUUCCCAGUGUAGUGGUGAAAUGCGUAGAGAUUGGGAGAAACACCAGUGGCGAAGGCGAAUUACUGGCCUGGAACUGACGCUGAGGCGCGUAAGUGUGGGGAUCACACACGAUGAGAUACCCUGGUAGUCCGCACUGAAAACGAUGAAUGCUAGGUGUAGGGGGUAUCCACCCCUUCUCGGCCGCAGUUAACACAAUAAGCAUUCCGCCUGGGGAGUACGGCCGCAAGGUUGACACUCAAAGUAAUUGACGGGG
rnacentral:rRNA from 1 species